GAUGAACGCUGGCGGCGUGCCUAAUACAUGCAAGUCGAGCGAACAGACGAGGAGCUUGCUCCUCUGACGUUAGCGGCGGACGGGUGAGUAACACGUGGAUAACCUACCUAUAAGACUGGGAUAACUUCGGGAAACCGGAGCUAAUACCGGAUAAUAUAUUGAACCGCAUGGUUCAAUAGUGAAAGACGGUUUUGCUGUCACUUAUAGAUGGAUCCGCGCCGCAUUAGCUAGUUGGUAAGGUAACGGCUUACCAAGGCAACGAUGCGUAGCCGACCUGAGAGGGUGAUCGGCCACACUGGAACUGAGACACGGUCCAGACUCCUACGGGAGGCAGCAGUAGGGAAUCUUCCGCAAUGGGCGGAAGCCUGACGGAGCAACGCCGCGUGAGUGAUGAAGGUCUUCGGAUCGUAAAACUCUGUUAUUAGGGAAGAACAAAUGUGCAAGUAACUAUGCACGUCUUGACGGUACCUAAUCAGAAAGCCACGGCUAACUACGUG
rnacentral:rRNA from 1 species